rnacentral:rRNA from 1 species
ACUCCUACGGGAGGCAGCAGUGGGGAAUAUUGCACAAUGGGCGCAAGCCUGAUGCAGCCAUGCCGCGUGUAUGAAGAAGGCCUUCGGGUUGUAAAGUACUUUCAGCAGUGAGGAAGGCGGGUACGUUAAUAGCGUGCUCGUUUGACGUAGCUGCAGAAAGAAGCACCGGCUAACUCCGUGCCAGCAGCCGCGGUAAUACGGAGGGUGCGAGCGUUAAUCGGAAUUACUGGGCGUAAAGCGCAUGCAGGUGGUUUGUUAAGUCAGAUGUGAAAGCCCGGGGCUCAACCUCGGAAUAGCAUUUUGAAACUGGCAGACUAGAGUACUUAGAGGGGGGUAGAAUUUCAGGUGUAGCGGUGAAAUGCGUAGAGAUCUGAAGGAAUACCGGUGGCGAAGGCGGCCCCCUGGAGCAGAUACUGACACUCAGAUGCGAAAGCGUGGGGAGCAAACA